GACGAACGCUGGCGGCGUGCUUAACACAUGCCAGUCGUACGGUAAGGCCCUUUCGGGGGUAUACGAGUGGCGAACGGGUGAGUAACACGUGAGUAACCUGCCCACAACUUUGGGAUAACGCUAGGAAACUGGUGCUAAUACUGGAUAUGUGCUCCUGCUGCAUGGUGGGGGUUGGAAAGCUCCGGCGGUUGUGGAUGGACUCGCGGCCUAUCAGCUUGUUGGUGGGGUAGUGGCCUACCAAGGCGGCGACGGGUAGCCGGCCUGAGAGGGUGACCGGCCACAUUGGGACUGAGAUACGGCCCAGACUCCUACGGGAGGCAGCAGUGGGGAAUAUUGCACAAUGGGCGCAAGCCUGAUGCAGCAACGCCGCGUGCGGGAUGACGGCCUUCGGGUUGUAAACCGCUUUCAGCAGGGACGAAGCUUUUUGUGACGGUACCUGCAGAAGAAGCACCGGCUAACUACGUG
rnacentral:rRNA from 1 species